AUUGAACGCUGGCGGCAGGCCUAACACAUGCAAGUCGAGCGAGCGGCGGACGGGUGAGUAAUGUAUGGGGACUGCCCGUUAGAGGGGGAUAACUACUGGAAACGGUAGCUAAUCACGCAUACUAUCGGAUAACCCAGAUGGGAUUAGCUAGUAGGUGGGGUAAUGGCUCACAUAGGCGACGAUCCCUAGCUGGUCGGAGAGGGUGAUCAGCCACACUGGGACGGAGACACGGCCCAGACUCCUACGGAGGCAGCAGUGGGGAAUAUUGGACAAUGGGCGCAAGCCUGAUGCAGCCAUGCCGCGUGUAUGAAGAAGGCCUUAGGGUUGUAAAGUACUUUCAUUCGGGAGGCGGUACCGACAGAGGAAGCACCGGCUAACUCCGUGCCAGCCGCCGCGGUAAUAC
rnacentral:rRNA from 1 species